CCUACGGGCGGCAGCAGUGGGGAAUAUUGGGCAAUGGGCGCAAGCCUGACCCAGCAACGCCGCGUGAAGGAAGAAGGCUCUCGGGUUGUAAACUUCUUUUCUCAGGGACGCAGAAAGUGACGGUCCCUGAGGAAUAAGCCACGGCUAACUACGUGCCAGCAGCCGCGGUAAUACGGAGGGUGCAAGCGUUAUCCGGAUUUAUUGGGGUUACAGGGCGUGGAGGCGGGAGCGCAAGUCAGAUGUGAAAACUCAGGGCUCAACCCUGGGCCUGCAUUUGAAACUGUGUUUCUUGAGUGCUGGAGAGGCAAUCGGAAUUCGGUGUGUAGCGGUGAAAUGCGUAGAUAUACGGAGGAACACCAGUGGCGAAGGCGGAUUGCUGGACAGUAACUGACGCUGAGGCGCGAAAGCGUGGGGAGCAAACAGGAUUAGAUACCCGGGUAGUC
rnacentral:rRNA from 1 species